UGAAAAUUUUCUUUUACAGCAAGAAUAGUAACCACUUUAAUGACCACCAAUGAUCUUACAAUUCUUAUACGUUUUGUGGUCAUGCUGGCUUUAAACAUCUGGGUAACCGCGACAGUACUUCGCUACCGGAAGGCCAUUUUCAAGGCUGAAUGAUGGAAUCACUGUUCCUACACACAGUGGAUUUCGAAUCACUGAACCAGAGGAAAGAAAAGCUCAUUGUUAAGUCAAGGUCUUUUAAAAUUUAGUCAAUCAUUUUAGAACUUUGAAGCCAAAGGAAUUUUAGGCUUGAAAGAGCCACUUAAACAUGUUUAAAAAUGACUUCCCAUUCCCUUCCCCCAACCCCUUCAUUAGUUUAAGUCAGGGCUCAGAUAUCUGCAGUUUUGAGAAGGUUGGUGAUUGAUGGAAAUCAUCCAAGCCUAUUUUGAGAUCGCUUUCAUUAAGUCCUCUCCAGCAAGCUAACUAGAACUCGCUGGUUUUUCUCAGCUGUCAGAAUCUUUUAAGAAAUCAAUCCUGUCCACGGCACAAAUGAACAUGGAGUAGAAUUUUGCUCAAUGUCAGAAGUGGAACUGUAAUGAAUUACUCGGGUUCCCUUUCUGGGACUAACGUUUAAUUGUAACACAGAUGUAACAGGAUGGCCUUAUUGUAUCAUAAUACAGUUCAAUACCUCCUUAGGUUAUAUAGGUAUAUCAGGGCAAGCAAACAUGUAACUAACUGGCUUGAGAUUCACAUACCAAAGUUGUCCUUUUGCUUCAUACUGUGCCUUUAAGUAAUCCCUAACAAAAGGUAUGAGGAGGCAAUCCCAAUAAACGUAUUCACUGUGCUGCCAUUUUUAUAAGGGCCACAUCUAUACAAUUACCGUUAUUAGAAUUAGAUACAAAAUACAGCUGACCUGGGCUGUUUUGUGUAUUGAAAAUAUAUGCAGUAGGGGCACCCCAGUUGGGACCCCAUCUUGUUUUGAGAGCUGUUACUUUUGCUCUAAUAAAACUAUCCUCUGCUGUAAAAAAAAUAAAAUUAAAAUUAAAAAAAGAAAAUAUAUGCAGUAAAGGGUAUUGCUGAGUUCUGCAAAGUUCUUAUGGAUUUUAUUUUCAUUAUAAUACCAUAUUCUAAGCAUAAGAUUACUGGACAGUGCAUUUUCAGACAAAAGUUUAUAAACCCCAACAUUUAAAAACUCCCCCUUUUUGAAUGGCAUUAUUCUGGUAUAUGCAGUAAGUAAAUGAUGUUUAUUAGAGAACAUUUUAAUUUCCUCUGUAAAUAAACUUUCAUAUUUUGAACUCUG